CUGAUGUAUUCAACGAGUAUAUAGCCUUGGCCGAUAGGCUCGAGUAAUCUGUCGAAAUUUCAUUGUGAUGGGGAUAGAUCAUUGUAAUUAUUGGUCUUCAAC
rfam:Amborella trichopoda AMTR_V1.0_contig_5653, whole genome shotgun sequence.